CAGCCUCAGGAGUGGAUUUCCUGAGCAGAAAAGGAGUGCUACUCAUCUUCCUUUGCUCCACCUAUUGCAAAAUCUACCCAUGAUUUUGUGAAGGAGCUUCAAAAAAGUCAGUGAGGAAUUGUGCUCAUGGGCUGGGUCCUUCAACUUGUGUUUUCAGGCAGAGUGAAGGCGACUCUUGACAGAAAAUACAAAACUUUUUAAGAAUUGA